rnacentral:rRNA from 1 species
AUGAUUCGACCUCAUGGGAUCAAUAUCCCCGACGGCAAGUUCUACCUCGGAAAUGCUGGCUAUGCAUGUCGGCCGGGUAUUCUUCCACCCUUCAGGAAAACCAGGUACCAUCUCAACGAGUUCUCUGGUAGGAACUAUCCUAGGACUGCACAGGAGAUGUUUAAUCUCAGACACUCCAGCCUUAGAGUAACUGUUGAGAGGGCAUUUGGAGCUCUGAAGAAUAGGUUUAAGAUCCUGGAUCAGAAGCCAUGCCACCCAUACUCCACUCAGGUUAAGCUUGUUCUUGCUUGUUGCAUUCUGCAUAACUGGAUCCUCUAGUGGGGCUUUGAUGAACACGUGCCUGAGGAGGAAGAGGUCGAGCCUAACGAUGUUGUUAGCUCCGGCCAUGGAGUGGAGGCAUUUGACAAUGACGCUUGGAAGAACAAAAGGUUGGAGUGGGCAGAGGCAACGUGGCUUAACAAAGGUCAGUGCAAGAUUUGA